rnacentral:rRNA from 1 species
UUGACCUCAAAUCAGGUAGGACUACCCGCUGAACUUAAGCAUAUCAAUAAGCGGAGGAAAAGAAACUAACAAGGAUUCCCCUAGUAACUGCGAGUGAAGCGGGAAAAGCUCAAAUUUAAAUCUGGCCAGUUUUUGACUG